AAUUCACCAACAUGUAUAAUGACAUCUGUUGCCAGCUCGGAUACCACAAACCUGCACCGACCAUCAAACUUGAGAUAUAAAUAUAUAUGUAUGUAUUAUCAGAAACAAGAUAUAAACAAUUAUUCUAAAUUGAUAUAAAGUAGAUAUUAAAUGAUCUUGGAUUAUAUUUCUGAAUUGUGCAUCCAAUAUACAGAUGUACUAUCAAAAAUGAACUUCGUACCAUCUUCCAGCCAGUUUGCUUUGAGAGGGGCCCAGACAAGAGUUCAAAGAAAAGGAAAGUUGAAGUGAAUGAUGAGUCUUGAUGAGCCAAGGAAAUGCUAUAAAGAAGCUAUGUCAUUUCCCACAUAUAAGCAAUGCACAAGCUCAAACAGUGGAAACAUGCAAGAAGCAUCUGCUCCUGCUUCCGAAGAAACCAAUCUGGAUCAGGCCUGUGACUAAGAAAUAUCAAAGAAGCAAGAAAAGAAGUGGAGCAUGCAAAGGGGAGUAGUAGCUCAGUGGGUAGUCAAUGGGGAAACAGGAGUUGCCUAUCUUCGAUAAUUCUUUCAUCUUGACCACACCAAGUUACAAAACAAAGACCAGAAAAUGGCAAGCAAGCAUCCAUUCCUCUUGGAAAAAUUUAGAUCCUAAAAGAACUAGCAGACAGGAACAAGUAGCAACAGCAUUUUGACCCUGAGUAUUUUCCUGUGCCACAAAUAUUCAAGAAAGUGGUGGCAGAAAGAAUACAAGGUGGCAAAGAACUCUUCAUCAAGGCUAGCCAGAUCUGCAAUUUUAAAAGCAC